CUGGCAGCAGGCCCCGCACGUCUUCUUCUUCGCCUUGCCCAAGCCAGAGCACGCGCGCCCGCCGCCAUAUCCCGAGUUCCUCAGGAUCGCGAUCCCAGCCCUUCCCCUCACGCACGUCUAUGUCUUAUAAAUAGCCAGCACUCCCCUCGUUCGAACCCUUCGAAAACCCCUUGUCAAAACUCUCUCUCAUGCACGCACUCGCAGUUUGGAUCUCCGCCACCGACGCUUCAGAACGCCGUCGUCUCCGUCGCCGCAACGAGCCCGAACUCGUCCGAUCUUGCCGGAGCCAGGGAGCAGAGGAGCUCGGCCAACUUCGCUUCACCGUCGUACGACGUCUGGGGCCCUUGUACGCACCACCACCGGACCCCCUCACUCCGCCGCUUCCGCCUGUGCACUCGCCGGAGCGCCUCGACCACCGGAACGCGCUCGCCGUCAACCACCGUACGUCAUCACUGCUGUCACACUCGCCGCCGUCGCUCCCGCCAUCCCUGAGUCACGCCAAAGAGACCUUCGUGCUCGCCACCGUCGCCCACGUCGAACGGAGCCCUCCCUAAAGCCGGAGACCCACGGGAGGAGCCGCCUGCGUCAACCCUGAGCCGCCACCACCGCCGACAACCUAGACGGAGUUUACCUCCACCGUGCAUACUAAUCCAGGGAUGGCACGGAUACACAGAGGCUUGACCGUCUGAGGUUGAGUCGCUACAGCUAGUGAGUCCGUCGACCUGCUCCAACGGCGCUUCUUCUACUUCAGCACAAAUGCAUGGCAUUUACGGUUUGGCGCCAUUGAGAUUGAUGAUGCAUGAGGAUGUCGCGAGGUGCCGAGGAGAGAAGUACCUCCUAGAUCUGAGAUUUGCAAGCACCAGACGAAAUGACAACGCGAGCCAGACGGGGGUCGGGCGUGUUAAUCUGUACAAUUUGUUGUUGUCUGGUUGUUUUCUGGUGAAAUGUUAAUUGUUGGCAUGGGUGGUGAUAUUAGCUAGUGUUGAAAGGAAAUUCAAGUAUUUCUCUGUUUCAUGUAUGUGUUGUCCGAACAAAGUAAUGCAAUGAAAUGAAAUCUCUGUAAUAAACCUUUGUUGAGCGAAAGGUUUGAAUAGCUGCU